UGGGGGAUAUUGGUCAAUGGGGGAAACCCUGAACCAGCAACGCCGCGUGAGGGAAGAAGGUUUUCGGAUUGUAAACCUCUGUUUUUGGUGACGAAACAAAUGACGGUAGCCAAGGAGAAAGCCACGGCUAACUACGUGCCAGCAGCCGCGGUAAUACGUAGGUGGCAAGCGUUGUCCGGAAUUACUGGGUGUAAAGGGAGCGCAGGCGGGAGAGCAAGUCAGACGUGAAAACUAUGGGCUUAACCCAUAACGUGCGUUUGAAGCUGUUUUUCUUGAGUGAAGUAGAGGUAGGCGGAAUUCCGAGUGUAGCGGUGAAAUGCGUAGAUAUUCGGAGGAACGCCAGUGGCGAAGGCGGCCUACUGGGCUUUUACUGACGCUGAGGCUCGAAAGUGUGGGGAGCAAACAGGAUUAGAUACCC
rnacentral:rRNA from 1 species